UACGUAGGUGGCAAGCGUUGUCCGGAUUUACUGGGCGUAAAGAGCGCGCAGGCGGUCGUCCAAGUCGCGUGUGAAAGCCCCCGGCUCAACUGGGGAGGGUCACGCGAUACUGGUCGACUCGAAGGCAGGAGAGGGUAGUGGAAUUCCCGGUGUAGUGGUGAAAUGCGUAGAUAUCAGGAGGAACACCGGUGGCGAAGGCGGAUCUCUGGGCCUGUCCUGACGCUGAGGCGCGAAAGCUAGGGGAGCGAACAGG
rnacentral:rRNA from 1 species